rnacentral:rRNA from 1 species
UACGUAGGGCGCAAGCGUUGUCCGGAAUUAUUGGGCGUAAAGAGCUCGUAGGCGGCUUGUCACGUCGAUUGUGAAAGCCCGAGGCUUAACCUCGGGUCUGCAGUCGAUACGGGCUAGCUAGAGUGUGGUAGGGGAGAUCGGAAUUCCUGGUGUAGCGGUGAAAUGCGUAGAUAUUGGGAGGAACACCAGUGGCGAAGGCGGCUCUCUGGACCUGUCCUGACGCUCAGGCGCGAAAGCUAGGGGAGCGAACAGG